rnacentral:rRNA from 1 species
AUUGAACGCUGGCGGCAUGCCUUACUCAUGCAAGUCGAACGGUAACAGGUUAAGCUGACGAGUGGCGAACGGGUGAGUAAUAUAUCGGAACGUGCCCAGUCGUGGGGAGUAACUGCUCGAAGAAGCAGCUAAUACCGCCAUACGACCUGAGGGUGGAAAGACGGGGGAGUCGCAAGACCUCGCGCGAUUGGUAGCGGCCGAUAUCAGAUUAGGUAGUUGGUGGGGUAAAGGACCACCAAGCCAACGAUCUGUAGCUGGUCUGAGA